CCUGGCGGCUGUAGCGCGGUGGUCCCACCUGACCCCAUGCCGAACUCAGAAGUGAAACGCCGUAGCGCCGAUGGUAGUGUGGGGUCUCCCCAUGUGAGAGUAGGGAACUGUUGCAU
rnacentral:rRNA from 1 species